rnacentral:rRNA from 1 species
GACAGAGGGUGCAAACGUUGUUCGGAAUUACUGGGCGUAAAGCGAGUGUAGGCGGUUUUCUAAGUCAGGUGUGAAAGCCCCGGGCUCAACCCGGGAAGUGCACUUGAAACUGGAAGGCUAGAGUAUCGGAGAGGUUGGUGGAAUUCUCGGUGUAGAGGUGAAAUUCGUAGAUAUCGAGAGGAACACCGGUGGCGAAGGCGGCCAACUGGACGAAUACUGACGCUGAGACUCGAAAGCGUGGGGAGCAAACAGG